GUUGCAAACCCAGCCGAGAGCCAAAAUGCAACAUGAAGGAACCAGGAGACGUUAUGGGGAAGUGCAGGUUUUGAUCACCACUGAUGGUAGCAUGUUAAAAUCAGGAGCUCCCCUCUUCCAGCUGUCUGAAAAGAAUCAAAAGUAGAGAGAAGGAAUUUUCAGCAGGAAGAACAGGAAAGCAGUUUAUAGGGGUCUUUGAGCCAGCCAUUUGAAUUGAAGUUGAGGACCCUGGAGUGGGGAAAAAUGGAAAUGAAGAGACAAGUGAGAGAUAAGCAGAGCAGGAAUUCACAGGUGAGGAGCCAUAUUAGGUAUCAGGUUCAAAGCAUCUGAAAAUGCCUGGUAUAUUUUGAGCUCUGAACUGAGAUGGUGAAGUUUAAUAGCAAGAUAAUAUAUUAAUUCAAG
rnacentral:lncRNA from 1 species